GGUUAAGUGACUAAGCGUACACGGUGGAUGCCUUGGCAGUCAGAGGCGAUGAAAGACGUAGUAACUUGCGAUAAGCCCAGAUUAGGUAGUAACAACCAUUUGAGUCUGGGAUUUCUGAAUGGGGAAACCCACUUACAUAAGUAAGUAUCAUUAACUGAAUACAUAGGUUAAUGAGGCGAACCGGGGGAACUGAAACAUCUAAGUACCCCGAGGAAAAGAAAUCAACCGAGAUUCCGAAAGUAGCGGCGAGCGAAAUUGGACUAGCCCUUAAGCUUUACACGCGUUAGACGAACGGUCUGGAAAGUCCGACGAUACAGGGUGAUAGUCCCGUAGUUGACGACGUGUGUUCAGUGAAAUCGAGUAGGGCGGGACACGUGAUAUCCUGUCUGAAUAUGGGGGGACCAUCCUCCAAGGCUAAAUACUACUGACUGACCGAUAGUGAACCAGUACCGUGAGGGAAAGGCGAAAAGAACCCCUGUGAGGGGAGUGAAAUAGAACCUGAAACCGUGUACGUACAAGCAGUAGGAGCAGGCUUUGUCCUGUGACUGCGUACCUUUUGUAUAAUGGGUCAGCGACUUAUAUUCAGUGGCAAGGUUAACCAUCUAGGGGAGCCGUAGGGAAACCGAGUCUUAACUGGGCGUUCAGUCUCUGGAUAUAGACCCGAAACCAGGUGAUCUAGCCAUGGGCAGGUUGAAGGUUGAGUAACAUCAACUGGAGGACCGAACCGACUAAUGUUGAAAAAUUAGCGGAUGACUUGUGGCUAGGGGUGAAAGGCCAAUCAAACCUGGAGAUAGCUGGUUCUCCCCGAAAGCUAUUUAGGUAGCGCCUCGGACGAAUACUACUGGGGGUAGAGCACUGUUAAGGCUAGGGGGUCAUCCCGACUUACCAACCCUUUGCAAACUCCGAAUACCAGUAAGUACUAUCCGGGAGACACACGGCGGGUGCUAACGUCCGUCGUGGAGAGGGAAACAACCCAGACCGCCAGCUAAGGUCCCAAAUUACUACUAAGUGGGAAACGAUGUGGGAAGGCUCAGACAGCCAGGAUGUUGGCUUAGAAGCAGCCAUCAUUUAAAGAAAGCGUAAUAGCUCACUGGUCGAGUCGGCCUGCGCGGAAGAUGUAACGGGGCUAAGUAGUAAACCGAAGCUGCGGCAAUAUACUUUUGUAUAUUGGGUAGGGGAGCGUUCUGUAAGCGGUUGAAGGUGUGUGGUAACGCAUGCUGGACGUAUCAGAAGUGCGAAUGCUGACAUGAGUAACGAUAAAGGGGGUGAAAAACCUCCUCGCCGGAAGACCAAGGGUUCCUGUCCAACGUUAAUCGGGGCAGGGUAAGUCGACCCCUAAGGCGAGGCCGAAAGGCGUAGUCGAUGGGAAACGGGUUAAUAUUCCCGUACUUCUUACAAUUGCGAUGGGGGGACGGAGAAGGCUAGGUGGGCCUGGCGACGGUUGUCCAGGUUCAAGUGCGUAGGCUUAAGAGUUAGGUAAAUCCGGCUCUUUCUAAGGCUGAGACACGACGUCGAGCACCUACGGGUGUGAAGUCAUUGAUGCCAUGCUUCCAGGAAAAGCCUCUAAGCUUCAGAUUGUAAGGAAUCGUACCCCAAACCGACACAGGUGGUCGGGUAGAGAAUACCAAGGCGCUUGAGAGAACUCGGGUGAAGGAACUAGGCAAAAUGGUACCGUAACUUCGGGAGAAGGUACGCUCUUGAUGGUGAAGUCCCUCGCGGAUGGAGCUGACGAGAGUCGCAGAUACCAGGUGGCUGCAACUGUUUAUUAAAAACACAGCACUGUGCAAAAUCGUAAGAUGACGUAUACGGUGUGACGCCUGCCCGGUGCCGGAAGGUUAAUUGAUGGGGUUAGACUUCGGUCGAAGCUCUUGAUCGAAGCCCCGGUAAACGGCGGCCGUAACUAUAACGGUCCUAAGGUAGCGAAAUUCCUUGUCGGGUAAGUUCCGACCUGCACGAAUGGCGUAAUGAUGGCCACGCUGUCUCCACCCGAGACUCAGUGAAAUUGAAAUCGCUGUGAAGAUGCAGUGUACCCGCGGCUAGACGGAAAGACCCCGUGAACCUUUACUACAGCUUGGCACUGAACAUUGACCCUACAUGUGUAGGAUAGGUGGGAGGCUUUGAAGCACGUACGCCAGUAUGUGUGGAGCCGUCCUUGAAAUACCACCCUUGUAGUGUUGAUGUUCUAACGUCGACCCCUUAUCGGGGUUGCGGACAGUGCCUGGUGGGUAGUUUGACUGGGGCGGUCUCCUCCCAAAGAGUAACGGAGGAGCACGAAGGUGGGCUAAUCACGGUUGGACAUCGUGAGGUUAGUGCAAUGGCAUAAGCCCGCUUGACUGCGAGAAUGACAAUUCGAGCAGGUGCGAAAGCAGGUCAUAGUGAUCCGGUGGUUCUGAAUGGAAGGGCCAUCGCUCAACGGAUAAAAGGUACUCCGGGGAUAACAGGCUGAUACCGCCCAAGAGUUCAUAUCGACGGCGGUGUUUGGCACCUCGAUGUCGGCUCAUCACAUCCUGGGGCUGAAGUCGGUCCCAAGGGUAUGGCUGUUCGCCAUUUAAAGUGGUACGCGAGCUGGGUUUAGAACGUCGUGAGACAGUUCGGUCCCUAUCUGCCGUGGGCGUUGGAAGAUUGAAGGGGGCUGCUCCUAGUACGAGAGGACCGGAGUGGACGAACCUCUGGUGUUCGGGUUGUGUCGCCAGACGCAUUGCCCGGUAGCUAAGUUCGGAAUCGAUAACCGCUGAAAGCAUCUAAGCGGGAAGCGAGCCCUGAGAUGAGUCUUCCCUGAUACUUUAAGUAUCCUAAAGGGUUGUCGGAGACUACGACGUUGAUAGGUCAGGUGUGUAAGUGCUGUGAGGCAUUGAGCUAACUGAUACUAAUUGCCCGUGAGACUUAACCAU
rnacentral:rRNA from 1 species